GACGAACGCUGGCGGCGUGCUUAACACAUGCAAGUCGAACGGAAAGGCCCUGCUUUUGUGGGGUGCUCGAGUGGCGAACGGGUGAGUAACACGUGAGUAACCUGCCCUUGACUUUGGGAUAACUUCAGGAAACUGGGGCUAAUACCGGAUAGGAGCUCCUGCUGCAUGGUGGGGGUUGGAAAGUUUCGGCGGUUGGGGAUGGACUCGCGGCUUAUCAGCUUGUUGGUGGGGUAGUGGCCUACCAAGGCUUUGACGGGUAGCCGGCCUGAGAGGGUGACCGGCCACAUUGGGCCUGGGAUACGGCCCAGACUCCUACGGGAGGCAGCAGUGGGAAUAUUGCACAAUGGGCGGAAGCCUGAUGCAGCAACGCCGCGUGCGGGAUGACGGCCUUCGGGUUGUAAACCGCUUUCGCCUGUGACGAAGCGUGAGUGACGGUAAUGGGUAAAGAAGCACCGGCUAACUACGUG
rnacentral:rRNA from 1 species